ensembl:snRNA U6 U6 spliceosomal RNA
GCCCUCUCUUCGGCAGCACAUACACUAAAAUUAGAGCAAUACAGAGAAGAUUAGAGCAGCCCUGGGCAAGGAUAACAUGCAAAUUCAAGAAGCGCUUCAUAUUUUU